UGAGGGAAGCAGCUAGCAUUGGUUCAGUGGUUUGACAAUUUCUGAAAUUCUCUUGGGAUUUCUCAUGUUUACUUCCUGGUUGCAAGAUGACUGCAGUAGCUUUCAGCAUUGCAGUCUGCCUUCAAGAAAGAAGGAAGAAGGAGCCAUGCCAGGAAUUAUAUCAGCAAGACCAGCCCCUCCUCUUCCUCCUCCUUCUCAGCCUACUCAGCAUGAAGACAAUGAGGAUGAAGACCUUUAAGAUGAUCCACUUCCACUUAAUAAAAAAUAUAUUUUUCUUCCUUCUGAUUUUCUUAACAUUUUCUUUUCUCUAGCUUGCUUUAUUGUAAGAAUAUAGUAUAUAAUAUACAUAACGCAUAUAAUAUAUGUGUUGACUGUUUAUGUUAUUGGUAGGGCUUCCACUCAACAAUAGGCAAUCAGUAGUUAAGUUCUGGGGGAGUAAAAAGUUAUAUGCAGACUCUCAACUACAUAGAGGUCAGAGCCCCUAACCCAUUUGUUGUUCAAGAGUCAAUUGUAUUCUCAACGAG
rnacentral:lncRNA from 1 species